UAUGACCAUAUCAUGUUGAAUCAACGGUUCCGGUAUGAUCGCCGAAGUUAAGCAACGUCGAGCCUGGUCAGUACCUAGAUGCGUGACCACUUGGGAAUACCAGGUGCUGUAAG